CCUACGGGGGACAGCAGUGGGGAAUAUUGCACAAUGGGGGGAACCCUGAUGCAGCGACGCCGCGUGAGCGAGGAAGUAUUUCGGUAUGUAAAGCUCUAUCAGCAGGGACGAAAAAAGACGGUACCUGACUAAGAAGCCCCGGCUAACUACGUGCCAGCAGCCGCGGUAAUACGUAGGGGGCAAGCGUUAUCCGGAUUUACUGGGUGUAAAGGGAGCGUAGACGGCAAGGCAAGCCAGAAGUGAAAGGGCAGGGCUCAACCCUGUACAUGCUUUUGGAACUGUGGUGCUAGAGUGCAGGAGAGGUAAGUGGAAUUCCUAGUGUAGCGGUGAAAUGCGUAGAUAUUAGGAGGAACACCAGUGGCGAAGGCAGCUUACCAAGCUACUUCUGACGUUGAGGCACGAAAGCGUGGGGAGUAAACAGGAUUAGAUACCCGAGUAGUC
rnacentral:rRNA from 1 species